GAGUUUGAUCAUGGCUCAAAUUGAACGCUGGCGGCAUGCCUUACACAUGCAAGUCGAACGGCAGCACGGGAGCAAUCCCUGGUGGCGAGUGGCGAACGGGUGAGUAAUACAUCGGAACGUGUCCUGUAGUGGGGGAUAGCCCGGCGAAAGCCGGAUUAAUACCGCAUACGCUCUGCGGAGGAAAGCGGGGGAUCCUUCGGGACCUCGCGCUACAGGGGCGGCCGAUGGCAGAUUAGCUAGUUGGUGGGGUAAAGGCCUACCAAGGCGACGAUCUGUAGCUGGUCUGAGAGGACGACCAGCCACACUGGGACUGAGACACGGCCCAGACUCCUACGGGAGGCAGCAGUGGGGAAUUUUGGACAAUGGGCGCAAGCCUGAUCCAGCAAUGCCGCGUGUGUGAAGAAGGCCUUCGGGUUGUAAAGCACUUUUGUCCGGAAAGAAAACCUCGUGGUUAAUACCCGUGGGGGAUGACGGUACCGGAAGAAUAAGCACCGGCUAACUACGUGCCAGCAGCCGCGGUAAUACGUAGGGUGCAAGCGUUAAUCGGAAUUACUGGGCGUAAAGCGUGCGCAGGCGGUUCGCUAAGACAGAUGUGAAAUCCCCGGGCUUAACCUGGGAACUGCAUUUGUGACUGGCGGGCUAGAGUAUGGCAGAGGGGGGUAGAAUUCCACGUGUAGCAGUGAAAUGCGUAGAGAUGUGGAGGAAUACCGAUGGCGAAGGCAGCCCCCUGGGCCAAUACUGACGCUCAUGCACGAAAGCGUGGGGAGCAAACAGGAUUAGAUACCCUGUAGUCCACGCCCUAAACGAUGUCAACUAGUUGUCGGGUCUUCAUUGACUUGGUAACGUA
rnacentral:rRNA from 1 species